rnacentral:rRNA from 1 species
UACGUAGGCAGCGAGCGUUGUUCGGAGUUACUGGGCGUAAAGCGUGCGUAGGCGGUGUCUUAAGUUUGUUUGUGAAAUCUCCCGGCUUAACCGGGAGGGUGCGGCGAAUACUGAGAUGCUGGAGUGCCGGAGAGGUAAGCGGAAUUCCUGGUGUAGCGGUGAAAUGCGUAGAUAUCAGGAGGAACACCUGCGGUGUAGACGGCUUUACUGGACGGUAACUGACGCUGAGGCACGAAAGCGUGGGUAGCAAACAGG